rnacentral:misc_RNA from 1 species
CCCGAAGACCCAUUCUCGUUACAAGAUGCUGCGUUUCCUUUCGCUUGCUCUCCUUAUCGCUGCGGCGACGUCCCAGCAGGUGGCUCCGUGCAGAUGCGGCGCCUUCGUCACCACCAACUCCAGCGAGGUCAUGCUCUAUGAGCUUCCGCCCAUUGAAGUGCACAGCUGCGACCAGAACAA